GUCAUUUUGUUUGGUUUCUUGGUCCUUGACACACACACAUAUAUUUGUGCAYAGAUACACAGUCACACACCCAGACUCAAACCCUCACAUGGCUCCUCAUCUCUCCGUUUUCGUCCUCCUCGUCAUUUUUUCCAGACUAUCAGUAAUGUCAAUGCCGUUGACCGAAGACACCGAAGACUCAUACUUAACAUCAGCGUACAGCAUGUACAGAUCUGAAGACGUCAUUAGAUUACUCUACAGAUUGGAGCGAACACUCUUCUACCUGAUGAAAAUUGUUAAUGCAAUGCUCUUCCUCCUGUGCACCAUCAUUGCUGUGGUGAACUUCAAGGUUAACCGACUUCGAGGUGAAAUUCAGGAUAGUUAGAAACCAGACAGGUCUCUCUGGUGAGAACAGAUGUUGUGUGACCAUACAAUUGUGUUUUAAGGUCCAGUAUUCACCAGCGAGAUGUUUUUUUUUUGUUACAGCCAAACAUUUAUUUCAAUCGGAAUGUUUUAUUCAUUUGUUUUACUGGUGAUUGAAGCUAAAACUACACUGUUGUGCACGAUUAUUAGGCAAAUUAGUAUUCUGAUCUUAUCAUUAUUUCUAUGGACAUUKUCCAACUCCAAACCAUAUAAACUUGAAUGCUUAUUGGAUGUARUCAUUUUCAGGUGAUAUGUAUUUGUGUGAUGAGGGAGGGUGUGGCGAAAGUGAAUAACACCUUAYAUCAAGGUGUGCAUAAUUAUUAGACAGCAUCAUUACCUMAGGUAAAAUGGGCCACAAAAUGUAUUUAACUGACACCGAAAAGUCAAAAAUGUGUAAAAUGCCUUUCAGACGGACRCAACACUCUUGAAAUAGCUCAACUAUUGAGGCGUGACCACCGGACAAUCAAACGUUUUGUUGAGAAUAUUCAACUGGGGCGCAAAAAACCCAUGGAGAAGAAAAGGCGCAAAUUAACUGCAAAAGACUUGAGAAUAMUUCAACGUCAAGCUACCAGGAAACCAUUAUCCUCCAGUGCCACCAUAUUCCAGAACUGCAAUCUACCUGGAGAGUCCAGAAAUACAAGGUGUCACGUGCUCAGAGACAUGGACAAGGUCAAGAAGGCURAAACACGACCGCCACUGAAUAAGAUUCACAAGUUGAAGCGUCAAGAUUGGGCAAAGAAAUACCUGAAGACAGAUUUUUCAAAGGUUUUAUGGACAGAUKAAAUGAGAGUGACUCUUGAUGGACCAGAUGGAUGGGCCCGUGGCUGGAUCRAUARUGGACACAGGGCACCACUUCGAGUCAGGAGCCAGCRAGGUGGAGGAGGGUACUGGUAUGGGCUGCUAUUUAUUUUAUUUCACCUUUAUUUAACCAGGUAGGCUAGUUGAGAACAAGUUCUCAUUUACAACUGCGACCUGGCCAAGAUAAAGCAUAGCAGUGUGAACAGACAACAACACAGAGUUACACAWGGAGUAAACAAUARACAAGUCAAUAACACAGUAGGGGGGAAAAAUGAGUCUAUAUACAUUGUGUGCAAAAGGCAUGAGGAGGUAGGCAAUA